rnacentral:rRNA from 1 species
GUGUCAGCCGCCGCGGUAAAACGUAGGAGGCGAGCGUUAUCCGGAUUUACUGGGCGUAAAGCGCGUGUAGGCGGUUUGGAAAGUUGGAUGUGAAAGCUCCUGGCUUAACUAGGAGAGGUCGUUCAAAACUAUCAGACUAGAGUAUGGGAGAGGGAGGCGGAAUUCCGGGUGUAGUGGUCAAAUGCGUAGAUAUCCGGAGGAACACCAGUGGCGAAAGCGGCCUCCUGGCCCAAAACUG